GGGUUAGCACAGAGGUUUUCAGGCUGCGCUGAAUUCGGAUAUGUGUGCAGAGAUAGUUUCCCACAGUCCGAGUCACCGUGACUGACGUGGAUGCCGAGCAGGCUGCAGGGACCGUGUGGAGGAAAGCUGCUUUGAUGCUGCAGCUCAGUCAGACAGCGACACCCUGUGGUAGAGUUUGAAAUCCCACUCUGGAUCGCAGCAGUGAAACAGUGCCGCCCUGUGGCAGCUUCCUUCACACCAGCUCUUCCCUCCAGAACAUCUGAAGAACCUACAGAUGAAGAGCUGGUUCAGGCAGCAGUUCACACUGAGGAGUAUAACCUCUGACCUACAGACACCUCUCUUGCUACACCUGCAUCUACCUCCAGCACUUCCUUACGGGAGGAGCCCACAGGUGAGGAACUGCUGGAGGCCUCACAGGAGCUCCACUUGUGGACAUACCAGCUCCUAGUGCUCCUGACCAUGAGGCUGCCCGUCUGUCUGUGGAUCCUCCACUAGUGCUGGGUCAGUCGCCGAGGGCAGCUCUGAUUGUAGAGCAGCAGCAGUGGAUCAGCCAGGUGCUGUUUACCGCAGACAGUUCAGCGAGGCCACGGCUCAUCACUGAGCUGAACUUUUGGUGGUAUCCUCACACCCGGCCGGUUUACACCCCCCAAACCCCUCUCUGCAUGCAGUGCUGUUCCUGUGGAGGCCACACAGAGUCUGGGGUCUGCAGCUGACAUGUGCAGAGGCUUUCUGGUAAGAGGGUAGACAGAAUCAUCCCUCUCUGGCAACACCAGAGGAGGUUCAAGGCAGCAAAGGGGAAGGGCCCCUCCUUUCCUUCCCAAGAAGUUAAAUGAGCCUUCAGCUCCUCCUGGAGUCUUUUCUGUCCUCCUGCUGGAGUGAAGGAUGAGAGUCCAUCUGGUCCCGGCGCAGGACUGAAGCAGCAUCCAAACCAGCCUUCAGUUCAGAAGCCAACAGGACACAAAAACUGCAGCAAAUCCAAUCAAAGGUUGACUCUGAAUUUUGAUCCAGGAAGCUUUCAGUGCCACAUCACUCUCUGUAACAUGUCGUGCACAUGUUAAACUUGUGGUCCUGUGUGUUCAUUUGCUGCACCUCCCCCUGAAUAAAGCUACAAAGUUAACAGGUUAACCUGUUAACUUUAUUCAGAAUGUAACAACUAGUGAUGUGUCGUUCUGUGUCGAGGAUUCGAAACGUGUAUCGAGUAAUUGAGGGAGACUUUUCUGAAGCUCAGCUCUGUGGCAAAGCUGUUUCUAACUAAAACGAAUAAGUAAAAUGUCCCUAAUGAGCACACUUACCAACCAAGUAACACAAUCACGUCACAACUCUCUCC